rnacentral:sRNA from 1 species
AUUAUGAACCGGUUCGUUCUUCAGCCUUGCGCUACUCUCCUGAAAAUAUCGACCAUGCAACCGAAAGGCGUUCGGUCAUGCCUCGUGACCACCAAUAGUCGUCACUUGUAUGAGAAAUGAUGGAGAGAGAGUCCGAGGAGCCUUUAGAACCGGGAUGAUUUGCUUUUUUCGUGUUUUCAUGCGUUUGUACG